CACAAUUUUAGCCCCGUACCCUAAUUAUAUAUCUCCAUUAUUCUCUCUAAACCUCGUGCAUUUCUCUUUUCUCGCUAUCUCUCUAUCCUCUUCUCUCACCAUCAGAUCUAAUUCCACAGCCAUUGUGGCCGGUGUAACCAUGGCUAUAGCCCAGCAUAAGCAGAGUUUUGGGUCAUGAUCUGGUGCCGGUGCCGGAUUUGAGGAAAAUUAGGUCGGAGUUUUGUGUAGCGAUUUGGUGUCAGAUUUGGAGCAAAUUGCAAUCUGGUGCUUGACGUGAACAGAGUUUUUAUGGUGGUUUUCAUGGUGUGGUGAUGUUGGGGUGGUUUCAUUGGCGACGAAGUUGGUUGAUCGGGCACUGUUGAUGGCUAAUCUAGAGUUGGUGGGAGUGGAUUUGGCAGUGGCAGUGGCAGUGGCAAUGGCAGUGUAUCUGAUGGUGGUGGUGGUGUUAAUAGUCAUGGUAGUGGCGAUGGUGAUCUAGCAGUGCUUGUGGUUGUGCUAGUGGAUGGGGUGAUGAGAUGUGGUUAAGGAUGGGUAUGGUUCGAUUCGGUUCGAUUCAGUUCUAAUUAGAGUCAAAUCGAAACCAAAAUUUUAGGGUAUUUAGUAAGUGGAACUAUUGGGUCCAAAUUUAAUUAUGGAACAGUUCGGGUUCAGUUCCAUUCGGCUCAAUUCGGUUCGAUUCUGUUCCCAAGUUCUGUAUUAUAAUAAUUUUUUUUAAUAUUUACAAAGCUACAUUAAUUUAAUCAAUG
rnacentral:lncRNA from 1 species